UUAACUGUUCAGGGGGAGCGUUCAAAGGAAAACCACCUGGAGGAAGGGGGUGGAAAAGAUGCACGUGGGGGGCCAGGGGGCUUCCACACCAACCUCAGGUCUGGCACAGGUCAGGGCAGCGGGUCUCUCCUCCCACAUUCCACAGCUCAGCGGGCCACAAACAGAAAAGGGUGCCUGAGGCCACAGAGAUGCUCCCGUGGAUCAUUGGCAGGCUCCCAGGGCCCGGCAGGUAACAAGGCUGCGGCUCUGGUGAGUCAACGCCUGGCCGGCUGAUCGCCCAACAGAAGAGAAGAGGGCCAGAGAGCAGCAGUGUCUACCAUUCUCCACUGGAGCCGGAGACGCAGAGACACAGCUGGCGGCCGAGCGGAAGCCCCGUCUGAAGCAAGGCCAGGCUCAGUGGCUACAGGAACAGGGAGCUCCGGAGACCCUGGCUGGAGAAACUUCACCCGGCACGACUCCCUGCUGGUGUCAGCACUGCUCCUUGGGGUGGAAUAAGAGUUGAGAAGAACCAGGAACUAGGCGUUGCCAACUUGCUCUCCAGAACAGCUGGGCCGAUUUACCUGCCGGUGGCAGGUGGGAGAGGCCAUCCCAUCCACCUUUGCAGCCCGGCGUCCUGGCAUCCUCCGCAUCUCUGACACUGCUCAACCCACACUCAAAGCAUAUUUCCUUGCCUGGGCCUUGGAGUCAGGCAAGUCUGGAACACACACCGGCUGACCUUCCCCUCAGUUUUCUUAUAUGGAAACAAGUGGAGGUUUGGAGCCCAACAGCACUGAACUCAUGUCAGCCAGAGCUGUUCUGCAGAUCCCCCUAUGUCUCAGCUGGGCUUGUUGCUGCUGAGGCCCACCAGGUGAGAGCCCUGGGAGGGCAGACACCACCCAGACGCCUUGGUGCUCUCCAGAGUACCUCACGGAGGAGGCUUGGUUAAAACAAAACCGGUAAAAAAAAAAAAAAAUCACCCUUCAACUCUCAGAUGAUGGGUUGCUAUUGUCACGUGGGGGCUUGAGGGUCUCCACGUCACUGCUGGGUUGCUCCCUGCACCCUGGGGCAGGGGGCCCUAUGUGGGAAGCUGUUCCCCCGUUGCCACCAUCGGGUGCUGCCAGGCAGGGGUGGGUGGGGCA
rnacentral:lncRNA from 1 species